CGGUGAAUACGUUCCCGGGCCUUGUACACACCGCCCGUCAAGCCAUGGAAGUUGGGGGUACCUAAAGUCGAUCACCGCAAGGAAUCGCCCAAAGGUAAAAACCAAUGACUGGGGCU
rnacentral:rRNA from 1 species